rnacentral:tRNA from 1 species
GGGCGGUUAGCUCAGUUGGCAGAGCGCGCGUUUUACAAGCGCGAUGUCGUGGGUUCGAGUCCCCCACCGCCCA